UUUAUUUAUUUAUUUAUAGUUCCAACGAACAGGCCGAAGCCCAAUUAUACAUUGAACUUAAACUUAAAUUAUAACUAGAAAGUUGAUACAGUAAAAUUUAAAAGAUUAAGAAGAAAAUUAAAAAUUUAGAAAUUGAAAAAAGAGGGAAUAUGGCCUUU